rnacentral:rRNA from 1 species
CGAAAGCCUGAUGCAGCAACGCCGCGUGCGGGAUGAAGGCCUUAGGGUUGUAAACCGCUUUCAGCAGGGAAGAAACUGACGGUACCUGCAGAAGAAGGUGCGGCCAACUACGUGCCAGCAGCCGCGGUGACACGUAGGCACCAAGCGUUGUCCGGAUUUAUUGGGCGUAAAGAGCUCGUAGGCGGUUCGGUAAGUCGGGGUGUGAAAACUCUGGGCUCAACCCAGAGAGGCCACCCGAUACUGCUGUGACUCGAGUGCGGUAGGGGAGCGGGGAAUUCCUGGUGUAGCGGUGAAAUGCGCAGAUAUCAGGAGGAACACCAGUGGCGAAGGCGCCGCUCUGGGCCGUAACUGACGCUGAGGAGCGAAAGCGUGGGUAGCAAACAGGAUUAGAUACCCUGGUAGUCCACGCCGUAAACGUUGGGCACUAGGUGUGGGUCUCAACCAACGAGAUCCGCGCCGUCGCUAACGCAUUAAGUGCCCCGCCUGGGGAGUACGGCCGCAAGGCUA